GUUUGUAUGCAGUGUUGGUAGAGCGAAAUGUGUCAAUGCCACGAUAACAUCCACAUGUCCACCGUCAUGCCUCCGCGGCUCCUCCUGUCAACCACGCGCCUCUACCAGCGGUUGUGCCAGCAAGAAUACCCUGUGGGGACAUUAGAAAUCUGUGGGGUCAAUCUUCUCAAGUUACAAGGACUAAUGCGUAAAAUUUAGAAAAACAAAGGGGUGCUAUAAAAAAGCUAUGGGUUACCUGACCCCACGGCUUACAUGUAGGUUCUGCACUGGCCUCUGCCAUGGCGUGUCCCCACCUUCCUCGUCGCGCCUUCUCAAGUAUUCCCAAGAAGAUAACAACAAUAACGGACUGUUUCAGUAUUAUAAACUUAAUAUUAAUAUUAUUCGACAGACGUUCAAACUUGCACACAAAUCAUGUAAUGCAAAACUACUAAUGCCAGCUUAAUAAAAUGGCUCCGCUGCAUCAUACAUGGCAAAUUAAAGAUCAUGCUUGGUCACUUGAGAUGGCACAAUGGAAUAGGAAGAUUUUACAAAAUGAAAAGGCAAUCUCUUCAAUUCUUAAAUUAGCAGCAUUUCAAUAUUUGCAGCUGUUGAAAACUUGGUUGUUAUUGUCCUACAGUCAAUAUACAACUUCAUAUUAAAGAUUACUUACUUGGUGAGCGAUUAGCUAGAUUACCUACUGGUGAGCGGUUAGCUAAAUUAGUGACGGCGGUUUUUAACACUCCCAAGUUCAAUUUAGUGUGAACGAUGAUAGAUUGGUGAAAUUUUAUCAUCCUGAUAUAAAAUGCAGGUUCGGACACUUUGUAGCAUAGUUACCAAGGUGAGUUGUGUCACAGGACAUUCUUUUUGAAGUGUCUAAUUAUAUAUGAACUUAAUCAUGGUUGAAGAACAUUGCCAUGCCUCCCAAAAGUUUAGAAGUUAUUAGGAAUGUAGUGCAAUUACUAAUUAGCCAUGCCGUGUUCUAGCAUAUAAGGAAAUUGUUUUUGUCCAGUAUGUAGUACUGGAACAAGUAGUGUUUGGAAGCAUAUACAUCAAAUAAAAAUAGUUGAAGGCCCAACGAUAAUUUCAUACCUGUGGCAGAGGCAUCGCUUCAACAAACAGUACUACUAAUGAACAUUGCAAUAUUUGUUCAUAGUACAUAAUCCUUGUACGUCAGAAACCAGAAACUUUGUGUCAGUGUGUUUCAUGAGAAGAGGAAGCCAAUCCGUCCUAUUCCUAGCACAACAGCAAAUCAAAGGGAAGCAUGCUUUACAUGGCAGACGUUCCAGGUAAGAGAAGAAAAUCUAAUAUGAUACUUAUCUAACUGUAUGAAUACAUUAGAAAAUAUCAUUUCCAAUUCAGAAUUUACCAUCCAGAAAUCACAACCCUCCAUUACUACUGCCAGCAUCAUGCCAUUAACUAGUUCUGCAAGUCCAGUUGAUCAUAAUCCUUCGUGGCAACAAGGAGGGCCAAACGUUUAUGUUCUGGCAGUAGAUAUCACUACCAUGACCAUUGCCUCAAUGACUAACUUCCAGGUUCAGUAUUGCAGGUCCUCAUAUAUGCCAUCAAGAUGAUCAGAAGACAUAUAACCCUGCAAACAAAAGCAAUUUUGUAUUGUUGCAUAGUACCUUUCAGGGAUAAAGAGAACUAUAAUCAAUUAAGUCGUCCCUUAGACAAUAUAACUUUCGUCACACAAGGGUGACAUACAGCAGAAAAAAAAAUCAGUUGGCUCAUUUCAACAAGCAUUUAUCAUAAUCAAACCAGCAACAUAGGAUCACCAAAUUUGAGAUUCUUUUUUCAACCGCAUAAAACAAACAUCAAUAACUGAAUUUCAUUUAAGUAUUGCACAUUGCAGGAUAAAAAGAAAAAGGAAACGGGUAUUACACAUUAUAAACUCACCUUCUUUGUAUCUGUUGGCGGGUUGCUUGACCAAAUUUAGUAAUAUGCAUGCCAACAUGUCAAAAACGUUGAGCACCAAUAAAGCAAAGAAAACCAUAGGUAGAAGAUAAAUCAAUAUACUUCAUUCAUAUGCACUAAAUGCAUUGUAAAAAGGUACAAGUACUGAAAUGGAAUCAAAAAAACAGAAAUAAGAUUUGCAUAAUGGAGUGAGAUAUGAUUACGUUAGUGAUGUUUAAGAAAGCGACCAGAGCUUGUAGAGUUAGUCGUUGAGUUUUGCUUCUCUACCACAGCAGCUCCGUCACGCGCGAGGUUCUUGCUCUGGUACUGCUGCCCAUGCACUCUGCAACUUAGCCUUCGACAAU
rnacentral:lncRNA from 1 species